rnacentral:rRNA from 1 species
UACAGAGGUCUCAAGCGUUGUUCGGAUUCAUUGGGCGUAAAGGGUGUGUAGGUGGCGCCGUAAGUCGGGCGUGAAAUCUCGGGGCUUAACUCCGAAACUGCAUUCGAUACUGCGGUGCUUGAGGACUGGAGAGGAGACUGGAAUUCAUGGUGUAGCAGUGAAAUGCGUAGAGAUCAUGAGGAAGACCAGUGGCGAAGGCGGGUCUCUGGACAGUUCCUGACACUGAGACACGAAGGCCAGGGGAGCAAACGGG